AGCAUAAAGAACCCGGUGGACAGGUGCUGCAUGGCUGUCGUCAGCUCGUGUCGUGAGAUGUUGGUUAAGUCCCGCAACGAGCGCAACCCUCGCCUUUAGUUGCCAGCAUUCAGUUGGGCACUCUAGAGGGACUGCCGGUGUCAAACCGGAGGAAGGUGGGGAUGACGUCAAGUCCUCAUGGCCUUUAUGUCUAGGGCUACACACGUACUACAAUGGCCGGUACAAAGGGCAGCCACUCAGCGAUGAGGCGCUAAUCCCAUAAAGCCGGUCUCAGUCCGGAUCGCAGUCUGCAACUCGACUGCGUGAAGUUGGAAUCGCUAGUAAUCGUAGAUCAGCAUGCUACGGUGAAUACGUUCCCGGGCCUU
rnacentral:rRNA from 1 species